rnacentral:rRNA from 1 species
UACGUAGGGAGCAAGCGUUGUCCGGACUCAUUGGGCGUACAGCGCGCGUAGGUGGCCUCGUAAGUCCGCUGUGAAAGUCAAAGGCUCAACCUUUGAAAGCCGGUGGAUACUGUGGGGCUAGAGUACGGAAGAGGCGAGUGGAAUUCCUGGUGUAGCGGUGGAAUGCGCAGAUAUCAGGAGGAACACCAAUAGCGAAGGCAGCUCGCUGGGACGUUACUGACACUGAGGCGCGAAAGCGUGGGGAGCGAACAGG